rnacentral:rRNA from 1 species
AUUGAACGCUGGCGGCAUGCCUUACACAUGCAAGUCGAACGGUAACGGGCCUUCGGGUGCCGACGAGUGGCGAACGGGUGAGUAAUACAUCGGAACGUGCCCGAUCGUGGGGGAUAACGAGUCGAAAGCUUUGCUAAUACCGCAUACGAUCUACGGAUGAAAGCAGGGGACCGCAAGGCCUUGCGCGGACGGAGCGGCCGAUGGCAGAUUAGGUAGUUGGUGGGAUAAAAGCUUACCAAGCCGACGAUCUGUAGCUGGUCUGAGAGGAUGAUCAGCCACACUGGGACUGAGACACGGCCCAGACUCCUACGGGAGGCAGCAGUGGGGAAUUUUGGACAAUGGGCGAAAGCCUGAUCCAGCCAUGCCGCGUGCAGGAUGAAGGCCUUCGGGUUGUAAACUGCUUUUGUACGGAACGAAAAGCCUUCUUUUAAUACAGGAGGGUCAUGACGGUACCGUAAGAAUAAGCACCGGCUAACUACGUG